rnacentral:rRNA from 1 species
CUGAAGGAGGAGCUUGCUUCUCCGGAUGAGUUGCGAACGGGUGAGUAACGCGUAGGUAACCUGCCUGGUAGCGGGGGAUAACUAUUGGGAACGAUAGCUAAUACCGCAUAAGAGUAGAUGUUGCAUGACAUUUGCUUAAAAGGUGCAAUUGCAUCACUACCAGAUGGACCUGCGUUGUAUUAGCUAGUUGGUGGGGUAACGGCUCACCAAGGCGACGAUACAUAGCCGACCUGAGAGGGUGAUCGGCCACACUGGGACUGAGACACGGCCCAGACUCCUACGGGAGGCAGCAGUAGGGAAUCUUCGGCAAUGGACGGAAGUCUGACCGAGCAACGCCGCGUGAGUGAAGAAGGUUUUCGGAUCGUAAAGCUCUGUUGUAAGAGAAGAACGAGUGUGAGAGUGGAAAGUUCACACUGUGACGGUAUCUUACCAGAAAGGGACGGCUAACUACGUGCCAGCAGCCGCGGUAAUACGUAGGUCCCGAGCGUUGUCCGGAUUUAUUGGGCGUAAAGCGAGCGCAGGCGGUUAGAUAAGUCUGAAGUUAAAGGCUGUGGCUUAACCAUAGUACGCUUUGGAAACUGUUUAACUUGAGUGCGAGAGGGGAGAGUGGAAUUCCAUGUGUAGCGGUGAAAUGCGUAGAUAUAUGGAGGAACACCGGUGGCGAAAGCGG